AUAUUGCUUGUUUUUGUGUUUUACACCUUUUCUUGAUGGAUAAGUUCAUGGGUUAUGACUUGGUGACAUGUACAUAUAAAAUCUUAGAUAAAAAAACUAAGUCUUUUUCUCUUUUGGAUUCCUGAAUUAUAUAAAAGUAGAAUGGACUCAUCCUAGAGUUUUUAAACCCUAUAUGAAGGAUUUGCUAAAUCUUCAAGGAAAUACUUGUGUCAUUGUCUUGCAUACUAUCUUACACCCAUCAUACAAACAAUGGCUUGUCCAAAUUUGCUCCCUAGAAUUGCCUUCUCUAUGUAUAUGUUUAUUGGGAG
rnacentral:lncRNA from 1 species